rnacentral:rRNA from 1 species
GACGAACGCUGGCGGCAUGCCUAAUACAUGCAAGUCGAGCGAACAGAUGAAGUGCUUGCACUUCUGACGUUAGCGGCGAACGGGUGAGUAACACGUAAGGAAUCUACCUAUAAGCGGGGGAUAACACUCGGAAACGGGUGCUAAUACCGCAUAAUAUCUUCUUCCGCAUGGAAGAAGAUUGAAAGACGGCUCUGCUGUCACUCAUAGAUGACCUUGCGGUGCAUUAGUUAGUUGGUGGGGUAACGGCCUACCAAGACGAUGAUGCAUAGCCGACCUGAGAGGGUGAUCGGCCACAUUGGGACUGAGACACGGCCCAAACUCCUACGGGAGGCAGCAGUAGGGAAUCUUCCGCAAUGGGCGAAAGCCUGACGGAGCAAUGCCGCGUGAGUGAAGAAGGCCUUCGGGUCGUAAAACUCUGUUAUAAGAGAAGAACAAAUUGUAGAGUAACUGCUACAGUCUUGACGGUAUCUUAUCAGAAAGCCACGGCUAACUACGUGCCAGCCGCCGCAGUAA